AGUAGCUUAAUUGGUAAAGCCUUGGAUUCUUACUCCUAGGAUGUUUUUUGACUUCUCUCGAG
rnacentral:tRNA from 1 species